rnacentral:rRNA from 1 species
GGAUGAACGCUAGCUACAGGCUUAACACAUGCACGUCGAGGGGAAACGGCAUCGAACGCUUGCUUUUGAUGGGCGUCGACCGGCGCACGGGUGAGUAACGCGUAUCCAACCUGCCCAUCACUUGGGAAUAACCUUGCGAAAGUAAGACUAAUGCCCAAUGACAUCCCACGAAGGCAUCCGAAUGGGAUUAAAGAUUUAUCGGUGAUGGAUGGGGAUGCGUCUGAUUAGCUUGUUGGCGGGGUGACGGCCCACCAAGGCAACGAUCAGUAGGGGUUCUGAGAGGAAGGUCCCCCACAUUGGAACUGAGACACGGUCCAAACUCCUACGGGAGGCAGCAGUGAGGAAUAUUGGUCAAUGGGCGAGAGCCUGAACCAGCCAAGUAGCGUGCAGGAUGACGGCCCUAUGGGUUGUAAACUGCUUUUAUAAGGGAAUAAAGUGGGUCACGUGUGACUUUUUGCAUGUACCUUAUGAAUAAGGACCGGCUAAUUCCGUG